rnacentral:rRNA from 1 species
AGUGAACGCUGGCGGUAGGCCUAACACAUGCAAGUCGAACGGCAGCACAGAGGAGCUUGCUCCUUGGGUGGCGAGUGGCGGACGGGUGAGGAAUACAUCGGAAUCUACUCUGUCGUGGGGGAUAACGUAGGGAAACUUACGCUAAUACCGCAUACGACCUACGGGUGAAAGCAGGGGAUCUUCGGACCUUGCGCGAUUGAAUGAGCCGAUGUCGGAUUAGCUAGUUGGCGGGGUAAAGGCCCACCAAGGCGACGCUCCGUAGCUGGUCUGAGAGGAUGAUCAUCAACACUGGAACUGAGACACGGGCCAGACUCCUACGGGAGGCAGCAGUGGGGAAUAUUGGACAAUGGGCGCAAGCCUGAUCCAGCCAUACCGCGUGGGUGAAGAAGGCCUUCGGGUUGUAAAGCCCUUUUGUUGGGAAAGAAAUCCAUCUGGUUAAUACCCGGGUGGGAUGACGGUACCCAAAGAAUAAGCACCGGCUAACUUCGUGCCAGCAGCCGCAGUAA